rnacentral:tRNA from 1 species
AAACAACCGCCGGUCUGAACGGAUAUCAUUGAUGUUGAUAAUUAAGAAUUUUAUAUUCGUUGU